rnacentral:tRNA from 1 species
GGAGGUAUUGGGGAGUAGACAAACCCAAGGGACUGUAAAUCCCUCGCUUACGAGAGUAGCUACGGUGGUGCAAAUCCAUCUACCUCCA